GCCUCACGUGCUCUCGGGUCAUGGUCUGCAGACGUAGGCGCGUGCGCAGUGCUCUCUGCUGCAGACUGUCCUGAAGUCCCUGCAGACAGCCCACGCCACCGUGGCGGCUCUCCCUCAGGAACAGACUGUUGCCAUGGCUGCUCAUCCUGUCUCUGCGGUGGACAGAGGAGACCAGGUGCUUUGGUGGCAAAGGUGAGUUACUGGAAUAGAGUACAAAAAACAAACUAUCUGCAGGAUGUGGCUGAGCUGAGUCGCGUAGCCAGAGACUCUGCAGGACCCACGGGGCCCAGAGCAUCUGAGCGGUGAAUUCUUCAAGUCUUCGAUUUUAAAAAAAAAAAAAAAAAAAAAAAG